AUUGAACGCUGGCGGCAGGCCUAACACAUGCAAGUCGAGCGCGCGGCGGACGGGUGAGUAAUGUCUGGGAAACUGCCCGAUGGGGGGGGGUAACUACUGGAAACGGUAGCUCAUACCCCAUACCCUCUGAUGUGCCCCGAUGGGGUUAGCUCGUAGGUGGGGUAACGGCUCACCUAGGCGACGAUCCCUAGCUGGUCUGAGAGGAUGACCAGCCACACUGGAACUGAGACACGGUCCAGACUCCUACGGGAGGCAGCAGUGGGGAAUAUUGCACAAUGGGCGCAAGCCUGAUGCAGCCAUGCCGCGUGUGUGAAGAAGGCCUUCGGGUUGUAAAGCACUUUCAGCGGGGAGGCGUUACCCGCAGAAGAAGCACCGGCUAACUCCGUGCCAGCCGCCGCGGUAAUAC
rnacentral:rRNA from 1 species